UACGUAGGGUGCAAGCGUUAAUCGGAAUUACUGGGCGUAAAGCGUGCGCAGGCGGUUAUACAAGACAGGCGUGAAAUCCCCGGGCUUAACCUGGGAAUGGCUCCUGUGACUGUAUAGCUAGAGUGUGUCAGAGGGGGGUAGAAUUCCACGUGUAGCAGUGAAAUGCGUAGAUAUGUGGAGGAAUACCAAUGGCGAAGGCAGCCCCCUGGGACAACACUGACGUUCAUGCACGAAAGCGUGGGGAGCAAACAGGAUUAGAUACCCUAGUAGUCC
rnacentral:rRNA from 1 species